rnacentral:tRNA from 1 species
UUGUUGCUAACUCAACGGUAGAGUACUCGGCUUUUAA